GGCUCGUUGGUCUAGGGGUAUGAUUCUCGCUUAGGGUGCGAGAGGUCCCGGUUCAAUCCCGAUGAGCCC
rnacentral:tRNA from 1 species